UGGGGAAUAUUGGACAAUGGGCGCAAGCCUGAUCCAGCCAUGCCGCGUGAGUGAUGAAGGCCCUAGGGUUGUAAAGCUCUUUUGGCGGGGAAGAUAGUGACGGUACCCGGAGAAGAAGCCCCGGCUAACUUCGUGCCAGCAGCCGCGGUAAUACGAAGGGGGCUAGCGUUGUUCGGAAUUACUGGGCGUAAAGCGCACGUAGGCGGGUAUUUAAGUCAGGGGUGAAAUCCCGGAGCUCAACUCCGGAACUGCCUUUGAUACUGGGUACCUAGAGUAUGGAAGAGGUAAGUGGAAUUCCGAGUGUAGAGGUGAAAUUCGUAGAUAUUCGGAGGAACACCAGUGGCGAAGGCGGCUCACUGGUCCGGUACUGACGCUGAGGCACGAAAGCGUGGGGAGCAAACA
rnacentral:rRNA from 1 species